rnacentral:rRNA from 1 species
AGAGUUUGAUCCUGGCUCAGGAUGAACGCUAGCGGCAGGCCUAAUACAUGCAAGUCGGACGGGAUCUAAAUUUAAGCUUGCUUAAAUUUAGUGAGAGUGGCGCACGGGUGCGUAACGCGUGAGCAACCUACCCAUAUCAGGGGGAUAGCCCGAAGAAAUUCGGAUUAACACCGCAUAACACAGCAAUCUCGCAUGAGAUCACUGUUAAAUAUUUAUAGGAUAUGGAUGGGCUCGCGUGACAUUAGCUAGUUGGUAAGGUAACGGCUUACCAAGGCAACGAUGUCUAGGGGCUCUGAGAGGAGAAUCCCCCACACUGGUACUGAGACACGGACCAGACUCCUACGGGAGGCAGCAGUAAGGAAUAUUGGUCAAUGGAGGGAACUCUGAACCAGCCAUGCCGCGUGCAGGAAGACUGCCCUAUGGGUUGUAAACUGCUUUUGUCUGGGAAUAAACCUUGAUUCGUGAAUCAAGCUGAAUGUACCAGAAGAAUAAGGAUCGGCUAACUCCGUGCCAGCAGCCGCGGUAAUACGGAGGAUCCGAGCGUUAUCCGGAUUUAUUGGGUUUAGAGGGUGCGUAGGCGGCUUUAUAAGUCAGAGGUGAAAGACGGCAGCUUAACUGUCGCAGUGCCUUUGAUACUGUAUAGCUUGAAUAUCGUUGAAGAUGGCGGAAUGAGACAAGUAGCGGUGAAAUGCAUAGAUAUGUCUCAGAACUCCGAUUGCGAAGGCAGCUGUCUAAGCGACAAUUGACGCUGAUGCACGAAAGCGUGGGGAUCAAACAGGAUUAGAUACCUUGGUAGUCCACGCCCUAAACGAUGAUAACUCGAUGUUGGCGAUACACAGUCAGCGUCUUAGCGAAAGCGUUAAGUUAUCCACC